CUUGACACAUGCAAGUCGAACGGUAUGUGGCAACACAUAGAGUGGCGAACGGGUGAGUAACACGUGGGAACGUACCCUACGCAGGGGGAUAACUGACCGAAAGGACAGCUAAUACCGCAUAAGACCGAAAGGUGAAAGGUGCAACUGCACCGGCGAAGGAGCGGCCCGCGGACCAUCAGCUAGUUGGUGGGGUAAGAGCCUACCAAGGCAACGACGGAUAGCCGGCGUGAGAGCGUGGCCGGCCACAAGGACACUGAGAUACGGGUCCUACUCCUACGGGAGGCAGCAGUGCGGAAUUUUAGAUAAUGGAGGCAACUCUGAUCUAGCGACGCCGCGUGCAGGAAGAAGGUCUUCGGAUUGUAAACUGCUGUGGUAAGGGAAAAAUGCCAUGUAGAGUGGAAAGCUACAUGGAGGGAUGGUACUUUACUAGAAAGCCCCGGCUAACUACGUGCCAGCAGCCGCGGUAAUACGUAGGGGGCGAGCGUUACCCGGAAUCACUGGGCGUAAAGGGAGCGUAGGUGGCCUGACAUGUCAACUGUGAAAACCCGGAGCUCAACUCCGGACUUGCAGUUGAAACUGCCAGGCUUGAGGACGGUAGAGGAAGACGGAACUGCCAGUGUAGGGGUAAAAUCCUUAGAUAUUGGCAGGAACGCCGGUGACGAAGGUGGUUUUCUGGGCCGGUUCUGACACUGAUGCUCGAAAGCCAGGGGAGCGAACG
rnacentral:rRNA from 1 species